GGUGUGUGUGUGGGUAGGUAGAAAGUGCUGCUACAGUGCCAUUACUGUCAUUCCCGGCUGCAAUGAAGACUCACAG